rnacentral:rRNA from 1 species
GACGAACGCUGGCGGCGUGCCUAAUACAUGCAAGUAGGACGCAGUUGCGAACGGGUGAGUAACGCGUAGGUUACUGCCUAUUAGAGGGGGAUAACUCUUGGAAACAAUAGCUAAUACCGCAUACUAGUAGAUGGACCUUCGUUGUAUUAGUUAGUUGGUAGGGUAAUGGCCUACCAAGGCGAAGGUACAUAGCCGGCCUGGGAGGGGGAUCGGCCACACUGGGACUGGGAAACGGCCCAGACUCCUACGGGAGGCAGCAGUAGGGAAUCUUCGGCAAUGGGGGGAACCCUGACCGAGCAACGCCGCGUGAGUGAAGAAGGUUUUCGGAUCGUAAAGCUCUGUUGUUAAGGAAGCGGUACUUAACCAGAAAGGGACGGCUAACUACGUGCCAGCAGCCGCGGUAAUAC